rnacentral:tRNA from 1 species
GGCUGGGUGGCUCAGUUAGUUGAGCAUCUGACUUCAACUCAGGUCAUGAUCUCACAUCGUGGGUUUGAGCCCCGCAUCAGGCU